UACGGGGGGGGCAAGCGUUGUUCGGAAUUACUGGGCGUAAAGGGCUCGUAGGCGGCCAACUAAGUCCGACGUGAAAUCCCCAGGCUUAACCUGGGAACUGCGUCGGAUACUGGAUGGCUUGAAUCCGGGAGAGGGAUGCGGAAUUCCAGGUGUAGCGGUGAAAUUCGUAGAUAUUCGCAAGAACACCAGUGGCGAAGGCGGCUCACUGGCCCGGUACUGACGCUGAGGUGCGAAAGCGUGGGGAGCAAACAGG
rnacentral:rRNA from 1 species